UUUCCCACCUAAUAACUUAAAGCCUAACAUUUCAAACUAACACUAAUGCGCACAACUAACCUAACGGUUCUCGUUGAGUACAUUGGACGUGAGAGGUGCUAAUACCUUCCCCUUGCGUAAUCGACUCCCGAACCCUGAUUUGGUUGCGACGAUCAUAAUUAUUGUCGUUCUUUCUUGGGUUUUAUCGAUAUUUCCCCUUUCCUUUUUAGGAAUAA
rnacentral:lncRNA from 1 species